UACUGGGCGUAAAGAGUACGUAGGCGGUGAUUCAAGUCAGAGGUGAAAGCCUGGAGCUCAACUCCAGAACUGCCUUUGAAACCAGAUCGCUAGAAUCAUGGAGAGGUUAGUGGAAUUCCGAGUGUAGAGGUGAAAUUCGUAGAUAUUCGGAAGAACACCAGUGGCGAAGGCGACUAACUGGACAUGUAUUGACGCUGAGGUACGAAAGCGUGGGGAGCAAACAGGAUUAGAUACCCUGGUAGUCCACGCCGUAAGACGAUGAUAACUAGCUGUUCGGGGUCUACGAUCCUGAGUGGCGCGGCUAGCGCAUUAGGUUAUCCGCCUGGGGAGUACGGUCGCAAGAUUAAAACUCAAAGGAAUUGACGGGGGCCUGCACAAGCGGUGGAGCAUGUGGUUUAAUUCGAAGCUACGCGCAGAACCUUACCAGCGUUUGACAUCCUAAUCGCGGAUUCCAGAGAUGGUUUCCUUCAGUUCGGCUGGAUUAGUGACAGGUGCUGCAUGGCUGUCGUCAGCUCGUGUCGUGAGAUGUUGGGUUAAGUCCCGCAACGAGCGCAACCCUCGUCUUUAGUUGCCAUCAUUCAGUUGGGCACUCUAAAGAAACUGCCGGUGAUAAGCCGGAGGAAGGUGGGGAUGACGUCAAGUCCUCAUGGCCCUUACACGCUGGGCUACACACGUGCUACAAUGGCGGUGACAGUGGGCAGCAACCGGGCGACCGGUAGCUAAUCUCCAAAAACCGUCUCAGUUCGGAUUGUUCUCUGCAACUCGAGAGCAUGAAGGUGGAAUCGCUAGUAAUCGCGG
rnacentral:rRNA from 1 species